rnacentral:rRNA from 1 species
UACGAAGGGGGCUAGCGUUGCUCGGAAUCACUGGGCGUAAAGCGCACGUAGGCGGAUUGUUAAGUCAGGGGUGAAAUCCUGGAGCUCAACUCCAGAACUGCCUUUGAUACUGGCGAUCUCGAGUCCGGGAGAGGUGAGUGGAACUGGCGAGUGUAGAGGUGAAAUUCGUAGAUAUUCGCAAGAACACCAGUGGCGAAGGCGGACUCACUGGCCCGGUACUGACGCUGAGGUGCGAAAGCGUGGGGAGCGAACGAG